GCUGGGUGUGGUGGCGGGUGCCUGUAAUCCCAGCUACUCGGGAGGCUGAGGCAGGAGAAUCACUUGAACCCGGGAGGUGGAGGUUGCAGUGAGCCGAGGUUGUGCCACUGCACUCCAGCCUGGGUGACAGAGCGAGACUCUGUCUCAA
ensembl:misc_RNA Metazoa_SRP Metazoan signal recognition particle RNA